rnacentral:rRNA from 1 species
CCUACGUGUGGCUGCAGUGAGGAAUAUUGGUCAAUGGGCGCGAGCCUGAACCAGCCAAGUAGCGUGCAGGAUGACUGCCCUACGGGUUGUAAACUUCUUUUAUCAAGGAAUAAAGUGAGGCACGUGUGCCUUUUUGUAUGUACUUUCUGAAUAAGGAUCGGCUAACACCGGGCCAGCAGCCGCGGUAAUACGGAGGAUCCGAGCGUUAUCCGGAUUUCGUGGGUUUAAAGGGAGCGUAGAUGGGUUGUUAAGUCAGUUGUGAAAGUUUGCGGCUCAACCGUAAAAUUGCAAUUGAGACUGGCAGCCUUGAGUACAGUUGAGGUAGGCGGAAUUCGUGGUGUAGCGGUGAAAUGCUUAGAUAUCACGAAGAACUCCGAUUGCGAAGGCAGCCUACUAAACUGCCACUGACAUUGAUGCUCGAAAGUGUGGGUAUCAAACAGGAUUAGAUACCCGAGUAGUC